GUUAGUUAAAAUUUCAUUUUAGAAUAAAGAUAUUUUAGAGGACAAAAAAUUACAUGAAUUACCAUCACAAAUUGACAAUGUAACACAGUUGUCUUAGAGCAAACGGUAGAGUACUUGAAAAUGCAGGAAUGUUCUCUAACUUGCAAGAAGUCAAGUUACAUCGUAGGCUUAUCAUCAAACAACGUUCAUCUUUUCUUAUUAAGCCAAAAUCCAAACAAGUCAACCACUCCUACCUCUCGAUGAUGGAUUGUAAAUUCUUAACUCGUGACAAUCUGCUAUCUCAAGUGUGUGCAUAUUCAUGACCAAGGCCAAUUAGCAUCUCGCCACGCAAAGCGACAUCCUCCAAAACCACCACUACAGCCAUCAAAGCUAAUUGGUUCACCAGAGUUUGAUCCAUCUAAACCAACACAUCGAAGUUUUUGAUCACGUUUCGCUGAGUCCUCUCUGUAUGAUGGGUUUGAGUAUCUAGGGUGUUGGAUGAAAGGUACAUUCUUCCACCAGAGCUUAAGUGCCUAUAAAAUGAAUAGCAGUUAUGUAAUCUAGCCUACAAGUUGAUGAUCCAUAUGUACUUACAAAGAUAUUGAGUAUAUAUGAUGUAACUUACAUGCCAAUAGAUCCAUAUAGCAACCUUAUGAGGCAUCAACCAGAAGAAGACCGCGGGAUCUGAAACCCGUGUUUGGUCUAUUCUUUUCGCCUUCAAUGUCGCAGAGAAGUAGUUACCGUGAUGAGGAUGCUGUGAUUCAAUUGAUACAGAUAACUCAUCUCCAGGUUCAUUUGCUCUAAUCUUCCAAUUCCCAAGCAUAUCCUGAAAAUACAGUUAAAAACACUUAAUGAAUUCCACAAGUUGAACAAGAUCAAUCAAUAGAUGAUUGUAACAUCAUGAGAGUAGUAACAUACCAUGAAAGGACUGACUUGUAAUGAUUUAGCAACCAAGUCAGAUUCAGGGUCGAAAACAAAUGUCACUCGUUCCCCCCAUGGCGUAUUUGUAACCUACCAAAAAAAAACCUCUAAUCAUCAUCAACAGAAACACUUAAUGAAGAAACAGAGUAGAGAAAAAUAUGUACCUGUGCAAUGCAUUUACUUAAGCGUUUGCUUGAUCCUUCCAAGUUGUAGCAAUAAUACAAACUCAACGGGUUCUGCUCAUAUCCAACGCUUGGAGGUAUUGUCAAUAAGAAACUGCAACCAAAAAUAACAGAGAUCAUAUACAUAAUAACCUUGAUAGGGAAAACAGUAUCUUGAUCAUCACAUAGCCAUUAAACUUUCUGAAACUAAAAAGAUUCGAUCUACGCUGUUUCAGAUCAUAUACACAUCCUUUACACAAACAGAAUCUUAACUCACUUCUUGACUGUGUAUAUAAUUAUAUAUGUACAUACCUGAAGAUGGGUAACAUUCGAAGAAACACACAUUUUUCCAUUGUAGAAAAUUGUUAUCCUCUGAGAUUCUUCCUCUUUUGGUAGUGAGUUUCCAAGAGAUCUUUUCAUAGAAGCCUUUGGAUUUGGAAGCUGAUGAUGAUGUAAUCUUGUCAACCUGUUCCGAGGAUCCGACCCGUUUGAGGAUGACCUCUCUUCCAUCUCUCUACUCGCGAUCGAUAUUAUAGAUUUAGCCUGCAUUCAUUCAUAAAAAAACAUUAAUGGUUAAUAAGAUCCAUUAAUUGCUUAUAAAAUAUAAUCAUAUAAAUGAAUGUGUAUAUAUGUACAUACCUGAAGAUGGGUAACAUUCGAAGAAACACACAUUUUUCCAUUGUAGAAAAUUGUUAUCCUCUGAGAUUCUUCCUCUUUUGGUAGUGAGUUUCCAGAGCUUCUUGAUUCUACCACACUUCAAAUCAAUUAAAUGUAAACUUUAUUAGAUUCAUGUAUUUAGAUAAAUUUCAUAGAUUUGAUUCCAGAGAGAGAGAGACUUACGAGGUAUCUGAUUCAUCAUAAGAAGAUGUUGGAAAGAGACGAAGUUCCAAGUCGCAGUUUUUCUCCAUCUUCUGAGUUGUAAGGACAAUAACUGAUGAUGCUGAUGAUGGUGGUGGUGGUGAUAUUGUGUCUGGAUUGACGAAUAUAAGUUUAUUUAUAUGUUUGGUUUGUGAGGAGGGAGAGAGGGCGCGAGAGAGUUAGUGGAGAUAGAACACGGUAUCCUAAGACAGAGACAGACAGAUCACAGCUUCUUUUUAAUUAUCUCACAUGGAAAAUGUUUUUUCUAUUUUUUUAUUUGUGUAGUAUAGGUUUUGGAUUCUUUAUUAAUUGAACUAGAAUAAAAAGACAAAAGUCACGAAACUUUAUUUUUAUUCUAUUUUUUCCGUUGCAUUUUAAUACGUAUACUACUAAAUCUCUACUGGCGGUUUCGACGCAUUUUGUACAUUUCCGAAAAUAGUACUCUCAUAUUUCAUUCGUUUUGAUUGGAAUAAUUAUUUGUUAAAAUUUUCUGUAUCUUUGGUAUUUUUUAUUAUACUCCUAUAUUAGUUCACCGGUAUACUAAAGUGUUUGAUGCCUACCUGCUUUUUAGUUGUCAAAGUAUCGACUGCUGAAUAGUAUCGACUGCUGAAUAGUUUACCGAUUAAUAUUCACAGGCGGCGUAUCUUCUUAAGUCAAUUCUAUAAUCACUGCACACGCAAAUAUUAUCAAUCUUGGCGGUGUUUGACAAAACUUAUCUGUUGUAUUAAGUGUUACGAAAUUUUAUUAAAUGAUUAGAUUAAGGUAGAAUCAGGAUAACUAAUUAAUAUUUGAUCGAAGCACGUGUUUGCGUCUCCAAUAAGUUGCUCCUUUUGAUAUUUCUUACUUUUAUUAACUCUUCUACAAGAUUCAUAUGUAUCUAUUUUCUUUGCGGCUAUGAAACAAGUGGUAAGGAUUCAUGGAGAAAAAACGUGGUAGGGACAACAUUUUUGAUUAGUGAUUGAAUUUAGUUGUCAAGCCAUCCACUAUAAUGUUAUUUUAGUUAAGAUAAAAACAUAUUUGAAAUGAAAUCGGUUUAAGUAAUUCUCAUUUACAUUCCGCUUUUGGUUGUUAUAAUGUUUAAAUUGAGAUAUGUUGAUCAAUCUUGGUUUAUGCAAAACGCAUCCGUCUAAAAUAAUUCUUUUAAGACCUUUCGGUAAAUGUAGUGGAAACCAUGGGCUAAUCCAAGUCUUAAUUGAGUUCCCAUUGCCUACAUAAUUAGUUACUUUAAUCAUUGAGUCAAUGGCAUUUUUGUUUGUCAUAAAGAAAGAAAUUUAACAAAAAAUUUAUUUGUUAUUUUGUUUAUUUAAUUUAGAUAAGAAACUAACAUAGAAGUAAAACACGUGAGUCAUGAGAAAUACUAGUAACACACGACCUUAAGAUUGUUGGCUUCCCAUGCACCAUUCAAUUGAUUCAUUAUCUCAUAAACAUCGUUUUCGUUUCAGAAAUUAAUUUUGAUUAAGCCUUUACAAAAAAAAUUUGAUUACGUGCCUAGAUGUGGUCGACUUGAUGUGGUCGACUUAUUAACGAUUUAUCCCAUUAAAAUAAAAUAAAAAGUAGUUGACGAAUCCCUUUUUCGUUUGUUUCUAUGUCGACGACUCCUUAGAUGUGCCCGUAUACCGGCAAUAUAGAAAACAAAAGCACGUUGAAAAUAAAUACAAGUCGUUCGAUAUUUCAAAAACAAAUAAGUCAAUUUUGGGACCGAGUUUAACAUGUGGUGUUGUGUUGCACAAAUCAACGAACAAUGAAAUAAUCAAAAGCUAUCUAACAAUCUACCACUGAUAUGAAGCUUGCAGUUUUGACACCCAACGAAUGAACACACUGGUUAUUGUAUUUAAUAUUCAUUUGCUAUGAUUCUUUUUUUCUCGAUAAAAUAUUUAGAAGAAUAAAAAUGAUCUAAAAUUGUGAAAGGAUUAACAACUACUAAGGGUAAACAAGUAAAAGAUAAUAUCCCUCUAAACAUAUAAAAAUAAAUUUUACUAUAAACAUGAAAAUAUUAACCUGAAAUAUUUCACCAUAAACCUUCUUUUGUUCGGGCUGAUAUUGUUUUUAAAAAGAUAUUAAUCCGAACAAAACAAACAUGAGAAGUGAAAUACAUUUUUUGGUAAAAUGAAAAGUGAAAUACUUGUGAAAAAGUAUCAAAGCAAAAUAAUUGAUUAAAAGGCAGAUCCUGAGAAUUGGGAUCCUACAAAGCUACAUUUUCCAAUCAAUAUUCUGGAUUUGAGUUCAAAUACAAAAAAAAAAAUAUUGUAAUUAUUAAAGACUAGAGAGAAAAGUCGAUAAAUAAGAAAAUGAAUUGAUUAGACCAAAAAAGAAGAAGAAUUGAUUAGAGGCUCUGAGCCACAAAGUUGGAAAAGACUAGAAGCAUGUGUCGUCUUUUUUGGGUGAAAAGCAUCUGUUAUUUGUUCUAAUACAGUAUUUUCACAACUUCUGUUGUUAAUAAAUCCGAAGUUAAAAAAAAAGAAGUCCGAAGUUAGUUAAAAUUUCAUUUUAGAAUAAAGAUAUUUUAGAGGACAAAAAAUUACAUGAAUUACCAUCACAAAUUGACAAUGUAACACAGUUGUCUUAGAGCAAACGGUAGAGUACUUGAAAAUGCAGGAAUGUUCUCUAACUUGCAAGAAGUCAAGUUACAUCGUAGGCUUAUCAUCAAACAACGUUCAUCUUUUCUUAUUAAGCCAAAAUCCAAACAAGUCAACCACUCCUACCUCUCGAUGAUGGAUUGUAAAUUCUUAACUCGUG
rnacentral:lncRNA from 1 species